rnacentral:rRNA from 1 species
AUUGAACGCUGGCGGCAGGCCUAACACAUGCAAGUCGAGCGGUAACACAGAGAGCUUGCUCUCGGGUGACGGGCGGCGGACGGGUGAGUAAUGUCUGGGAAACUGCCUGAUGGAGGGGGAUAACUACUGGAAACGGUAGCUAAUACCGCAUAACGUCGCAAGACCAAAGAGGGGGACCUUCGGACCUCUUGCCAUCAGAUGUGCCCAGAUGGGAUUAGCUAGUAGGUGGGGUAACGGCUCACCUAGGCGACGAUCCCUAGCUGGUCUGCGAGGAUGACCAGCCACACUGGAACGGAGACACGGUCCAGACUCCUACGGGCGGCAGCAGUGGGGGAUAUUGCACAAUGGGCGCAAUCCUGAUGCAGCCAUGCCGCGUGUAUGAAGAAGGCCUUCGGGUUGUAAAGUACUUUCAGCGGGGAGGAAGGUGCUGAGGUUAAUAACCUCAGCAAUUGACGUUACCCGCAGAAGAAGCACCGGCUAACUCCGUGCCAGCAGCCGCGGUAA